rnacentral:rRNA from 1 species
UACGGAGAGAGCAAGCGUUGUUCGGAUUCACUGGGCGUAAAGGGCUCGUAGGCGGCCAGGCAACUCCGUUGUGGAAUCCCCACGUCGAUCGUGGGAAGUGCUUCGGAAAAUACCUGGCUAGAGGAUGACAGGGGUGGGUGGAACUCCCGGUGGAGCGGUGAAAUGCGUAGAGAUCGGGAGGAACGCCGGAGGCGAAAGCGGCCCACUGGGUCAUUUCUGACGCUGAGGAGCGAAAGCUGGGGGAGCAAACGGG